CCUACGGGAGGCAGCAGUAGGGAAUCUUCCACAAUGGGCGAAAGCCUGAUGGAGCAACGCCGCGUGGGUGAAGAAGGUCUUCGGAUCGUAAAACCCUGUUGUUAGAGAAGAAAGUGCGUGAGAGUAACUGUUCACGUUUCGACGGUAUCUAACCAGAAAGCCACGGCUAACUACGUGCCAGCAGCCGCGGUAAUACGUAGGUGGCAAGCGUUAUCCGGAUUUAUUGGGCGUAAAGGGAACGCAGGCGGUCUUUUAAGUCUGAUGUGAAAGCUUUCGGCUUAACCGGAGUAGUGCAUUGGAAACUGGGAGACUUGAGUGCAGAAGAGGAGAGUGGAACUCCAAGUGUAGCGGUGAAAUGCGUAGAUAUAAGGAAGAACACCAGUGGCGAAAGCGGCUCUCUGGUCUGUAACUGACGCUGAGGUUCGAAAGCGUGGGUAGCAAACAGGAUUAGAUACCCUAGUAGUC
rnacentral:rRNA from 1 species